AUCUACAUUUACUUAAUUUUAUCAGAUGACAGGUUGAAACAUAGGUACGUGAGUGGGGCAUUAAAGAAUGAACCAAAAGAGCCGGCGGAAAUAUGAGAAGAUUUAGAGGAACACAUUUAUGUUAAUGUAGAAAGCGUUGUAAAGUCCGAUGUACACGAGGAUCAAAGAACAAGCAAUAAAACUGUUGAUAAAAUUCCAAAAUUUCAUGCAAUUGCUUUGAACGAUUGCACAGCAGAAAACGGCGAUGAGAUAUCUUUCGGGUCCGGCGACAUUUUAAAAAACAUUGAUCCAGUACAGGAUGAUUAGUGGAUAGGAACAAAAGGAAACGAGAACGUGG